UGGGGAAUAUUGGACAAUGGGCGAAAGCCUGAUCCAGCCAUGCCGCGUGAGUGACGAAGGCCUUAGGGUUGUAAAGCUCUUUUGGCGGGGAAGAUAAUGACGGUACCCGCAGAAUAAGCUCCGGCUAACUUCGUGCCAGCAGCCGCGGUAAUACGAAGGGAGCUAGCGUUGUUCGGAAUCACUGGGCGUAAAGCGCACGUAGGUGGAUAGUUAAGUGAGGGGUGAAAGCCCGAGGCUCAACCUCGGAAUUGCCUCUCAUACUGGCUGUCUCGAGUCCGAGAGAGGUGGGUGGAAUUCCUAGUGUAGAGGUGAAAUUCGUAGAUAUUAGGAAGAACACCGGUGGCGAAGGCGACCCACUGGCUCGGUACUGACACUGAGGUGCGAAAGCGUGGGGAGCAAACAGGAUUAGAUACCCCAGUAGUCCCUGAGCGGGCUGGCAAGGCGCAU
rnacentral:rRNA from 1 species